ACUGAGAUCUUCUAGAGUGUGGUUUUCCCAAGGCAAGGCUUAUCCAUUGCACUCCGGAUAUGCUGACCCCUGUGAUUUCCCCAAAUGUGGGGAAACUGGACUGCAUAAUUUGUGGUAGUGGGGGACUGCAUUCGUGCUUUCCCUGC
rnacentral:snRNA from 1 species